rnacentral:lncRNA from 1 species
GUUGGGUUGUGCAGGAACUCAGGAGGCUGGACGCUGCAAAAAAGCUUGAGAGAAGAGGUGAUCUAAGGCAUCUCCCCAAAAAUCUCUUUUCUCCAUAAGAUAUGAAAUAGAGAAAUUGCUGGUGACAUUUUCCAAUAUGGCACAACAACUGGUGAGUUUGGGAAGUGAUAAUGUA